AUGACAAGCACUUUGAAAAGAGGGUGAAAAGAGCCUGAAACCGUUACGAGGGAAGCGGAUUGCGUUGGAAGGUGGAUACAUUUUCAGCCUUUAUGGUGCACUGAUGUAACCACGUGACUGCUGUGGCUUUUCUGUGGUUGAAAUUGAACUGCAGGGAGAGUGAGGGCUCCCCUUUAUGGGUGAGGACGGCGGUAACUAACGUGAUACGACCCGUCUUGAAACACGGACCAAGGAGUCUAGCGCUAUUGCGAGUCGAAGGGUUGAAACCCGUGGGCGUAGUGAAAGCGAGUUCUAAAAACGAGCAGUUUGGGGCGGUAUAAAAUCGUUGAUUUUAAGUCCGACCCGGAGCAAUUGUGCUGGGACCCGAAAGAUGGUGAACUAUGCCGGAGUAGGGCAAAGCCAGAAGAAAUUCUGGUGGAGGCUCGUAGCGGUGCUGACGUGCAAAUCGCUCGUCGAACUUGGGUAUAGGGGCGAAAGACUCAUCGAACCAUCUAGUAGCUGGUUCCCUCCGAAGUUUCUCUCAGGAUAGCGGGCCGACAAUCGUUGUUUUGUGC
rnacentral:rRNA from 1 species